UACGUAGGGUGCAAGCGUUAAUCGGAAUUACUGGGCGUAAAGCGUGCGCAGGCGGUGAUGUAAGACAGUUGUGAAAUCCCCGGGCUCAACCUGGGAACUGCAUCUGUGACUGCAUCGCUGGAGUACGGUAGAGGGGGAUGGAAUUCCGCGUGUAGCAGUGAAAUGCGUAGAUAUGCGGAGGAACACCGAUGGCGAAGGCAAUCCCCUGGACCUGUACUGACGCUCAUGCACGAAAGC
rnacentral:rRNA from 1 species